AAUCAGGGGGUAUGUAAGGAGGCCCCAGCAGCCAGGUGACGGUGAACAGGCAGUAUGAAGUCAUCUGACAAGUUUCCCACACACAGUCAAGUGGAAAAACUGUGCUUGUGGAGAUCUACAGCAGACAACCAUGGCAGUCCAGAUGGGUCUUCUUUUAGGUGGCUAAACACGUUUUCCGGCUGUCCUCGUCCAC